GCGCUGUCCCCACGGGCUGCCUUUUCCUCGAGCGCUACCCUCAACUCUGUGGUUGGGGCUAGAAAACUCCUGAGCUCGAAGCUGACUUAGCUCAUUUGUUGAUUUUUUUUUUUUUUUUUUUUUUUAACUUAAGUUUAAUGGAAAGAGAGGAAGCUGAGUCAGCGUCGGGAAGGAACCCAAGCGGACUUUACUUGGGGAGGUAUACAGGAGAACUAACUACUUAGUAGCAGAGUCUACUUAGUAGCAUAUCAUAACUAGCUACUUAGCCUACGGGAAUUAGCUACUUAGUCGCACAGUUUACUUAGUAACUUAGUGUAACUUGUGGGAAAUUGGGCUUCUACAAGUAACACUAUGUAUCACAAGUAUCAACAGAGACUCUUAAACUGUAGCUUUUGUCUAAUCUAUGAGUGGAUUCUCUCCGUAAAUGCUUCCCUUGGAGUUCUGAAGAUUAAGUGCAUAUUAAUUAAUAUAGCUGGUUAAAAGCCAUGUGGAGAAAGUGGUGAUGGCUAUUUAGGCUGCCACUAGAAGGUGUGGCCAAGAUUAAGAUGGAUCUUCCGAUCUGUCUUAGUCACCUCUAGUGCUCUGAAGGGACAUCACAAUCAAGGCAACUCUUAGAAAGGAAAGCAUUUAAUUGAGGGCUUGCUUAUAGUUUCAUCACGGCAGGGAGUAUGGCAGCAUGAAGGUAUUGUGUUGGAGAAGUGGGUGAGAACUAUAUCCUGAUUCACAGACAGAUGAAGAGACACUGAGCCUAGAGUAGACUUUUGAAACCUCCAACCCCAACCACAGCAACACACCUCCAACAGGGACACACUUCACCAACUGGAUACUAAGCAUACAAAUACAUAACCCAGCCGGGUCAUUUUCAUCCAAACUGCCACAUGACCUCAAAAGAUUUGGAUUUACAGUGGGUCUUCCCACUGUAAUGAUUUAAUUAAGAAGAAUACUUCACAGGUGUACUUAGCUACUUGGGGUUUUGUUAAUCCAGUUGUGAUUAAACUGACAACCAAGACUGGCAUCACAACAUGUGACCACUUACUCUAACACCCUUUGCUGCUGUCACUAUCCAUCAUGAGGCAGUGCAGCCAAGGAGUGACCCUCAUUACAGAGGUGAAGCGAUUUGGACUUCAAGCCUCGAGAACUGUGAGCUUAAUUUUUUUGUUUGUUUAAUUAAAUGCUUCUCUUCAUAAAUAACCUAUUUAAAGGAAUGUUGUUAUUGUAAUGAAAUGCUUGUGCAAUGGACUGCACUGAACAGCAGAAGUGGUCAUGCUGACCUGGGAGGCCAGUAAGGGACUUUAGUCGUCUCUCCCUAGUUGUUCCACUAGUCAUUACAGCAUUCUUUGCAGUUGCAUAUUUGAAAGCAGGACAGGGAAUUCCAUGACCUAUUUUCUGAGAA
rnacentral:lncRNA from 1 species